AUUUGAAAUCUGGCGCCUUCGGUGUCCGAGUUGUAAUUUGAAGAUUGUAACCUUGGGGUUGGCUCUUGUCUAUGUUUCUUGGAACAGGACGUCACAGAGGGUGAGAAUCCCGUGCGAUGAGAUGCCCAAUUCUAUGUAAGGUGCUUUCGAAGAGUCGAGUUGUUUGGGAAUGCAGCUCUAAGUGGGUGGUAAAUUCCAUCUAAAGCUAAAUAUUGGCGAGAGACCGAUAGCGAACAAGUACAGUGAUGGAAAGAUGAAAAGAACUUUGAAAAGAGAGUGAAAAAGUACGUGAAAUUGUUGAAAGGGAAGGGUUUGAGAUCAGACUCGAUAUUUUGUGAGCCUUGCCUUCGUGGCGGGGUGACCCGCAGCUUAUCGGGCCAGCAUCGGUUUGGGCGGUAGGAUAAUGGCGUAGGAAUGUGACUUUACUUCGGUGAAGUGUUAUAGCCUGCGUUGAUGCUGCCUGCCUAGACCGAGGACUGCGAUUUUAUCAAGGAUGCUGGCAUAAUGAUCCCAA
rnacentral:rRNA from 1 species